rnacentral:rRNA from 1 species
AGAGUUUGAUCAUGGCUCAGAACGAACGCUGGCGGCAGGCCUCAAACAUGCAAGUCUAGGGGGUGUAGCAAUACAUCACCGGCGGACGGGUGCGUAACGCGUGGGAAUAUACCUAUCGAUUCGGAACAACUGAGGGAAACUUCAGCUAAUACCGAAUACGUCCUAACGGAGAAAGAUUUAUCGUCGAUAGAUUAGCCCGCGUUCGAUUAGCUAGUUGGUGGGGUAAACGGCCCACCAAGGCGACGAUCGAUAGCUGUUCUGAGAGGAAGAUCAGCCACACUGGGACUGAGACACGGCCCAGACUCCUACGGGAGGCAGCAGUUGGGAAUCUUGGACAAUGGGGGAAACCCUGAUCCAGCCAUGCCGCGUGAGUGAUGAAGGCCUUCGGGUUGUAAAACUCUUUCGCGCACGACGAUAAUGACGGUAGUGCGAGAAGAAGCUCCGGCUAACUUCGUG